UUCACAACCCUUUGUUGUCCGACUCUGUUGCCUCCGGGGCGACCCUGCCUCCGGGCGGGGGCCCCGGGUGGACAUUUCAAACUCUUGCGUAACUUUGCAGUCUGAGUAAAUUUAAUUAACAAAUUAAAACUUUCAACAACGGAUCUCUUGGUUCUGGCAUCGAUGAAGAACGCAGCGAAAUGCGAUAAGUAAUGUGAAUUGCAGAAUUCAGUGAAUCAUCGAAUCUUUGAACGCACAUUGCGCCCCCUGGUAUUCCGGGGGGCAUGCCUGUUCGAGCGUCAUUUCACCACUCAAGCCUCGCUUGGUAUUGGGCGACGCGGUCCGCCGCGCGCCUCAAAUCGACCGGCUGGGUCUUUCGUCCCCUCAGCGUUGUGGAAACUAUUCGCUAAAGGGUGCCGCGGGAGGCCACGCCGUAAAACAACCCCAUUUCUAAGGUUGACCUCGGAUCAGGUAGGGAUACCCGCUGAACUUAAGCAUAUCAAUAA
rnacentral:misc_RNA from 1 species